GCAGGGUGACAGCUCUGAGAGCUGUGAGCCCUGCCCUGUGCUUGCAGGCAAUGUCUGUGUGCUGGGUGCUGCAUGUGCUGCUGACAGCCCUGGGUGUGGGGCAGCCCAGGUUGGAGUGGCUCAGAGCCCCUCCCGACCCUGCAGCUUGUGUUCCAAGUGGUGGCAGCUCUGUGCUGGUGGAAUUGCUGUGGUGUGGUGGCAGUCUCUGUGUGUGGAGGCUGCUGCUCAGCUGUACUGCUGGGCUGGCUGCUUCCUGCAGCUGAAUCCCUCGUGCCGUGCUCAGUGCCCCUCUCUUGCAAGAUGAAGGCUGGGAGAUUCUUCCCAACUGUGAAGGAAAGGAGGGCACUUGCCAACUUGUUAGAGUCUGCACUGGACUUUAGACUCUUGUAUUUUGCUCAGUGCUGGAGCUGUCCCCAUGCACACGCCCCAGCUCCCAAUGUGUCAGGUGGCUGUCAGUGGCACACAGGAUUUCCCCAUGUAGAAACACUGCAUGGUGCUGUCACCUUCCUGGGGCUCUGGCAGCCUACACCAAAGCAGCACCAAAGGAAGCAAAGGCAGCAGAUGAUGCUGCAGCUGGGUGCAGAGGUGAGGAUGAUACCUUUGGGACCCAAAGUGUACCUUUGGGAGCUGUGCACUGCCCCUAUGGAGUGUGUGGUUCGCAGCUGUGAGCUGCAAACUGCUUCUGUGAUUUUUUUUUUUUUUAAUUGCAUGGGUCAACAUGCCCUGGGGCUGGCUGGGUGUCCCAGCACGGGAGGGGUUAAGCACAGCGAGGGGCAGGCGGCCCAUGGGUGUUGCUGGGAACCAGGAGCAGAGCUGCUGCCAUCUGCACAUUGCAAUUUGCAUGCCAAGUGAAGGUGAGGAGGGUUUGCCUUAAAGCACAGCAGAGGACACGGGAAGCACUGCUGUUGCUGUCCCAGGAGCAUGCGGUGGCAUCCAGCAGCACGGGAAUGGGGAACUUCAUGCAGGUCUGCAUCCCUGCUGCCUGAGCAGUAGCUGCAGGCUGUGUUGUGCUGGGGCUGCAGUGCUGCUGGUGUUGCAGGCAGAGCUCUGGUGCCUUGGUGUGGGAAAUGUCUGGCCAGUGCCAUGCAGCCAGUUUUUGUUCCAGCUUGGCUUUGCAUCCUUGGGGAAGAAGCGGUGAGCCCUGGGUGCUUGCAGGGGCUUGUGCCAUGGAGAAGCUGUGUGAUUGUGGGGCUGCUCCCAGCUCUGGUGCCCAUGGACAGGGUCUGCAUCCUGCAGCCACGUCCCUCUCCCUGAGCCCUCUUUCCUUUCCCCAGCAGAUGGGCUCCUCCCUUGUGCCAGUGGCUACUUUCUGCCUGGUGCCUCACUCAGUGCUGAGGCUGUGCUGGCGUGCAGCUGCUCUCCUAGCCAGGAUGGAGGUGUAAUGCAGCCGCUUAUUAUUCCGGGCAGGUUUGUCUGCAGCACUGCAUCGGCUCCACGGCUGCCUCCUCCCUACCGCCUGCAUGCUUGCUCCCUCGGCUCUGUUCCUGGGUGUCCUUCCUGCUGCCAGUUUCUGGUCUGGGAACUCUGCUCAGGAGGUGACACCAUGCUGCUGGUCUGGGCUCCCUGGCUGUGUGCUCCCACCAGCACUGUGUUCACUUGCUCUGCAGGAUGCAGGCACCCAGCACCUUGUCCUCUGGCAGAGGAGACCCUUGGACAGCACUCCUUCAUCUCCAGCACCUGGAGGCUCUGGAAACUCAUUACAGAGUGACGGGCAACCCUGAGCGCUGCUGGAGUCAUUAGGAACUCAUUAGAGUGUUGGCUUCUGGGGAAGCCCUAGUGCUGGCCAAGGUCCUCCUUUAUUCCUGACCGCAGGAGCGAGUCCGUGGGGCCAGUAUUACUGCCAGGACUGAGC
ensembl:lncRNA